UAGGGAAUCUUCCGCAAUGGACGCAAGUCUGACGGAGCAACGCCGCGUGAGUGAAGAAGGAUUUCGGUUCGUAAAACUCUGUUGUUAGAGAAGAACAGCGCAUAGAGUAACUGUUAUGCGUGUGACGGUAUCUAACCAGAAAGCCACGGCUAACUACGUGCCAGCAGCCGCGGUAAUACGUAGGUCCCGAGCGUUGACCGGAUUUAUUGGGCGUAAAGCGAGCGCAGGCGGUUAGAUAAGUCUGAAGUUAAAGGCAGUGGCUCAACCAUUGUAGGCUUUGGAAACUGUUUAACUUGAGUGCAGAAGGGGAGGGUGGAAUUCCAUGUGUAGCGGUGAAAUGCGUAGAUAUAUGGAGGAACACCGGUGGCGAAAGCGGCUCUCUGGUCUGUAACUGACGCUGAGGCUCGAAAGCGUGGGGAGCGAACAGG
rnacentral:rRNA from 1 species